UCACUCUUCACUAUCAGUCUGUGUUCUCUGGGGAUUCCUCUAGACAAGUCAGAGCUUAAAAUAAAUGGAAUAUUUCAACUGAUAUUUUUUUUUUUUUUGUAGACUACCACUUGUUAUAUGUGAAGAUGUAGAGGAUUACCGGAAUGUAAUGCCCAAAGGUUCUCUAUCAAAUCUGUGACUAUGUGUGUUUGGGAGAAAGUAAAAGUGAAGGGCAAGAGACAAGAGGUCGUCAUUUUGGGUAAUUACUCAACGUGAUUGAUUUUUUUUCCUCUUUUACGAACGAAAUCGCCUAGCAACCUGACGUCACGUGUCACGAAGGUGUAAAACAGAACAAGCAGAUACCCCCAGCACCUUACGUGAGAAGAAGGUGCCCCACAUUGGACAAUCAUUACACACUGACAAGUGACAAUGUCAGACGUGUGCACGAGGCCUCCAUUGAGUCACGAAAACGAAGUCAAUAGAUGGCAGUACGUUUGUAAGAAAUUCAUCUGCUUCAAUGUGAGAAAGAAGGGCAGAAACACGUUGGAGGAGACUUAUUCAAAUAUCUUCCGCAAGAAUACAUUUGAGUCGAUGUUGAACAUUUUAUGAAAUGUCUACAAUCGAAUAUAAAAAGUUUUCUGUUUAUUUCAUAACGUAUUCUUGUAAUCAUUGGUAGCAAAGUACCUUUUCAUUACUCAAUGGUCUAAUAAGAUCUAGACCUAAAACGAAAAUGCAGCAUAACUUUUUGCCCUUUUAAAAAUGUUAAAUUGAAAAAUACAAAACAAAACCUAAUAAAAUACUCAGAAAACACAAAAAUAAAGGCACAUUUCUAACUCCAUAUGCUAGAUUGGAUUUUUAUAAGUGCUCCUUCUUCCCUAGUGCCAUUAGAGCAUGGAGUGGGUUGCCUGAAUCAGCCAGGAAAAACAACGACUUUAAGUUUUAAGCCACUGAUUAACAUGAUUGACACAUGGAUACGCUUAGGAUGUAAUUAUCUUCUCUUUUGAAGUAACGUCUGUAAUUCAUAAGAUAAGAUAAGACUGCACGUCAUUGCGCGUCAUAAAGGUUUAGAAUCACUGGUUUAGACACUUUUGAAGUUUAAUUAAGUCAGUUUUAUUGUUCUGGAUUCUUUUUAUGUUUCGAAACCUUAAAACUCACGGUUCUUUAUGUUCAGGACCUCAAACGUGCGUGUGCAUCUAUUGUAUCGAUCUAGACUUCAAGAGUACAUGAUUUAGGGCAACCAAUUGCAUCCAUUACAACUGUUUCACACCAGAGCAAGACAAAAAGAUAACGUUGGCUUGCUUACUUUACCAUUUCUUCUAUCUAAUGAUUUCCUCCACAGUAAACACUGGUUGCCUGCACACUUUUGGUAAACACUGAAACGACUUUAGUCCCCCCAUUGUUGAGGCAAGUAGGUCUUGCAAGGUAAACACUUUAGAACUGAGGUUCAAACGAAACUUUGUUUUUACAAGUUUCAGUUCGGACAGCUGUACUUGUUAAAUUCAUUGCAGACUUGAGACUUACCAGACUUUAAUUGCCAGAUAUUUGUCAACGUUUUAAACAAAACAUUAAUGAUCAUCAAAAUAUUUCCUCAUAUGUUUAAUAUUUUUAGCCUACUUUGUCUAUCUGUCUGGAAAAUGUUUUUACUUGAAGUUUUGUAAAGGGUCAAUGCCUUGACAUCAUUCCUACUUUUUUUCCUAUUCUUUUUUUGUAACAUGUCACUUUUAAAAUGUAUCUAUUUAAAUAAUAAAAUAUAGAUCUAUGCGUUUUGCUCUCAUAAAUAUACUUGUAACUUUAACUCUUUCUUUCCUUAUCAACUUUUCAUUUAACAAAGAAUAUGAUGUUUUCAGAAUCUCUUAACUCUCACAAUACCUUGGCUGAGGAUGAUGUUAGCAGACGUCAUCACCAAUUUUAAACCUUCAUAAAAUUAGGUCUUACACAAGAUGUGCCUUUAUCUUUGUGUCUUUCUAGGUAUUUUAUUAGAUUUUGUUAACAAGAUAAGAUUAUUUUAUUAGUACAAACAGACUCAAUUGU